rnacentral:misc_RNA from 1 species
CGUUCGAUGCAGGGGUACACGGAUCUACCUUGGUACACACAACACGGGUGCUGUUCGUUAGAUUAAACAUUGACUAGAACACUGGAUACGGAAUAGACGUUUCUUUUGCUUGAUCAACCCAUAAACAACUAUCAACACGCUGGAUUCUGUAUCAAAGAAGGCAGGCAUACCGGUGAAGGCGCUAGCGGCCCUACACUUGCAGUGUGGACAAACAGGUGGAGUUUCUGAACGUUCGAACGUCGCAGCAGACAACCUAGGAAAUAUGGUUAGCAGUAACCAAACACUACAAGAUUAUAAAGAGUUUAACUUCAAUUUCUAUCCCAAGGAGACAGUAUCAGUUGACAGAAGAGAGCAAGACAUACCACCUGAUGACAGAUGUCUUGGUCCAAACGAAACCGUAUGUGGGCAUAUGGCAACGCCUCGGGAUUCAGAUAGCUUUCCAAGUACUGGAACACUUGAACCUACGGUUCAGGAAGUUACUGAAAAGAUCGAUCGCAUGUCAUGUGAGGAUAUAAACCUACAGGAAAACAAUCGCCUGAAAAUACAAUUGAUCGACAUCGGAAUGCCUUACCGAAUGAAAGCUAAACAUAAUAUUGAAAUAAUUGUGUUAAUUGCUGAAAAAAUUCCAUUGGAAAUUUAUAAAAUUCAUUCCUUUCUGCACAUGAAACUUGACAACAUUCCAAAUUUUAUCGCUCCUUGUGAUAAACCAGUAAAAUACAUAAUUUCCCAUGCUGCAAACCCACUCUCUGUUGACGUUGAUCUGUCAAAAUUAGACAACUUGAAUGCAUCACUUCGGUUAUUAACAAAGCAGUCCGUUGACUAUAUUGUAUACAUAGCCAUAUGUCAACCAGAAACAAUGGUGGACAUAUCCAAAUUUCUGUUAGGUUACCUUUGAAGUUUACAGACAGAUAACUGUUACUUAGAAACUAAAGUUUAGGAUAAUUCCCAGUUAACACAAAACAGUUUCGAAACA